rnacentral:lncRNA from 1 species
AUGUUAUCGGUCUUGCUAAGUGGAAUUUUACAAUGGAGAAAAUGUUCAUGGAGCUAUGGCAAUAAUACUCCUGUAUUUAUGAUGUUUCCGCGAGGGACUACCGCAAUGAAAUGUCAAAUAAAAAUUAUUUUACAUCGGUUCUCUUCGACAGUCCAUACUGUCCUCUUCAUGCAAACCGGAUUUGUGUCCACCAUCAGGUUUUCUUACUUUUUUGCAUUUGUUACCGAGCUAAUUUUGACAGCACUAAUUUAUGAAUAUUUACACUCGCUCUUAAUAUUUCCUUGUACUGUCCAUGUUGUCAUUAUUGCCUUUUUUAGUCUUCAGAUUUUACAGUCAGUGUGGGAACACGAACUGGGUGGUCCUGGAGCAGAGCCAGUUAUGGAUGAAAUGCAUGAAUCUACAUAUGCUGAAUGCAGUGCUUUAAAACUUCAGCUAUAACAUGCAACAACAAACUGACACUUCGUCAAGCUCCAUCAUUUCUUAUAACAACCGCUGCCAUUUCACAAAUCACACAUGGUGCUUCAUUUGCACUUCAAAGUCAAAAGCAAGGAAGUACUAAGACAGGGACACAUGAAGCAAGCUGCAGACAGGGACACAUGAAGCAAGCUGCACUCUGGACCAGUUUAUUAAUUACACAAUGUUACAUCAUGUACGGUUUGUGUUCCUGUUGCCAAGCACUGUGCUUAAACCCAUGAUGAAGAGUGAAUAAAAAAACCAAAACAGUAAUUCACUUGGUUACGAAGUGAACCUGAAAUGCUGGGAAAGUACUAAGAUUAUGACUUAAAAAACAAUAGAAUAACAAUGUUUAAGAGAUUCAUAAUCAUUUUAUAAUACUGCAACUUUGCAUUAAGAAAAAUAAAUAAAGGAUAAUAAUUUAAUGUAUCAUUUAGUCCCAUAUCCAAAUGCAGUCUGUAAUAUCAAUACGAAAUCACAAACUGAGCGUAUACACUCUAUUAUACAUCACUGUAGCCUUUCUAAAAUCUUGCCUAAAGUGCAAACACAGUAAUUUAAUACCAGUUAAGAGUUAAGUGACGAUCCAAACUGCAGGCUUCAAAUAAUCCCAUAUCCAAAUGCAGUCUGUAAUAUCAAUACGAAAUCACAAACUGAGCGUAUACACUCUAUUAUACAUCACUGUAGCCUUUCUAAAAUCUUGCCUAAAGUGCAAACACAGUAAUUUAAUACCAGUUAAGAGUUAAGUGACGAUCCAAACUGCAGGCUUCAAAUAAACCUCAACUUCAAAUAUAAAAGCAUCGUUAGAAUAGUCCA